rnacentral:rRNA from 1 species
CAGGGAAUAUUGCACAAUGGGCGAAAGCCUGAUGCAGCGACACCGCGUGCGGGAUGAAGGCCUUCGGGUUGUAAACCGCUUUCAGGAGGGACGAAAAUGACGGUACCUCCAGAAGAAGGCCCGGCUAACUACGUGCCAGCAGCCGCGGUAAUACGUAGGGGCCAAACGUUGUCCGGAUUUAUUGGGCGUAAAGGGCUCGUAGGCGGUUCAACAAGUCGGUCGUGAAAACCCGGGGCUCAACCCCGGGACGCCGGUCGAAACUGUUGUGACUAGGGUCCGGUAGAGGUGAGUGGAAUUCUCGGUGUAGCGGUGGAAUGCGCAGAUAUCGAGAGGAACACCAGUAGCGAAGGCGGCUCACUGGGCCGGUACCGACGCUGAGGAGCGAAAGCAUGGGGAGCGAACAGGAUUAGAUACCCUGGUAGUCCAUGCCGUAAACGAUGAACACUAGGUGUGGCGGAUUCAUUGACAUCUGCCGUGCCGUCGCUAACGCAUUAAGUGUUCCGCCUGGGGAGUACGGCCGCAAGGCUA